rnacentral:rRNA from 1 species
GCUCAGGACGAACGCUGGCGGCGUGCCUAAUACAUGCAAGUCGAGCGAACUUGCGGGAGCUUGCUCCCAAAAGUUAGCGGCGGACGGGUGAGUAACACGUGGGCAACCUGCCUAUAAGACUGGGAUAACUUCGGGAAACCGGAGCUAAUACCGGAUAAUUCUUUCCUAUACAUGUAGGAAAGCUAAAAGACGGUUUACGCUGUCACUUAUAGAUGGGCCCGCGGCGCAUUAGCUAGUUGGUGAGGUAACGGCUCACCAAGGCCACGAUGCGUAGCCGACCUGAGAGGGUGAUCGGCCACACUGGGACUGAGACACGGCCCAGACUCCUACGGGAGGCAGCAGUAGGGAAUCUUCCGCAAUGGACGAAAGUCUGACGGAGCAACGCCGCGUGAGUGAUGAAGGUUUUCGGAUCGUAAAACUCUGUUGUUAGGGAAGAACAAGUACGAGAGUAACUGCUCGUACCUUGACG